GAUGAACGCUAGCUACAGGCUUAACACAUGCAAGUCGAGGGGCAGCAUGGUCUUAGCUUGCUAAGGCCGAUGGCGACCGGCGCACGGGUGAGUAACACGUAUCCAACCUGCCGUCUACUCUUGGACAGCCUUCUGAAAGGAAGAUUAAUACAAGAUGGCAUCAUGAGUCCACAUGUUCACAUGAUUAAAGGUAUUCCGGUAGACGAUGGGGAUGCGUUCCAUUAGAUAGUAGGCGGGGUAACGGCCCACCUAGUCUUCGAUGGAUAGGGGUUCUGAGAGGAAGGUCCCCCACAUUGGAACUGAGACACGGUCCAAACUCCUACGGGAGGCAGCAGUGAGGAAUAUUGGUCAAUGGGCGAGAGCCUGAACCAGCCAAGUAGCGUGAAGGAUGACUGCCCUAUGGGUUGUAAACUUCUUUUAUAAAGGAAUAAAGUCGGGUAUGCAUACCCGUUUGCAUGUACUUUAUGAAUAAGGAUCGGCUAACUCCGUGCCAGCAGCCGCGGUAAUACGGAGGAUCCGAGCGUUAUCCGGAUUUAUUGGGUUUAAAGGGAGCGUAGAUGGAUGUUUAAGUCAGUUGUGAAAGUUUGCGGCUCAACCGUAAAAUUGCAGUUGAUACUGGAUAUCUUGAGUGCAGUUGAGGCAGGCGGAAUUCGUGGUGUAGCGGUGAAAUGCUUAGAUAUCACGAAGAACUCCGAUUGCGAAGGCAGCCUGCUAAGCUGCAACUGACAUUGAGGCUCGAAAGUGUGGGUAUCAAACAGGAUUAGAUACCCUGGUAGUCCACACGGUAAACGAUGAAUACUCGCUGUUUGCGAUAUACAGCAAGCGGCCAAGCGAAAGCGUUAAGUAUUCCACCUGGGGAGUACGCCGGCAACGGUGAAACUCAAAGGAAUUGACGGGGGCCCGCACAAGCGGAGGAACAUGUGGUUUAAUUCGAUGAUACGCGAGGAGCCUUACCCGGGCUUAAAUUGCAGAUGAAUUACGGUGAAAGCCGUAAGCCGCAAGGCAUCUGUGAAGGUGCUGCAUGGUUGUCGUCAGCUCGUGCCGUGAGGUGUCGGCUUAAGUGCCAUAACGAGCGCAACCCUUGUUGUCAGUUACUAACAGGUUCCGCUGAGGACUCUGACAAGACUGCCAUCGUAAGAUGUGAGGAAGGUGGGGAUGACGUCAAAUCAGCACGGCCCUUACGUCCGGGGCUACACACGUGUUACAAUGGGGGGUACAGAGGGCCGCUACCACGCGAGUGGAUGCCAAUCCCCAAAACCUCUCUCAGUUCGGACUGGAGUCUGCAACCCGACUCCACGAAGCUGGAUUCGCUAGUAAUCGCGCAUCAGCCACGGCGCGGUGAAUACGUUCCCGGGCCU
rnacentral:rRNA from 1 species